UACGUAGGGGGCUAGCGUUGUCCGGAAUUAUUGGGCGUAAAGAGCUCGUAGGCGGUCUGUCACGUCUGCCGUGAAAACCCGAGGCUUAACCUCGGGCUUGCAGUGGGUACGGGCAGACUAGAGUGCGGUAGGGGUGACUGGAAUUCCUGGUGUAGCGGUGGAAUGCGCAGAUAUCAGGAGGAACACCGGUGGCGAAGGCGGGUCUCUGGGCAGUAACUGACGCUGAGGAGCGAAAGCGUGGGGAGCGAACAGG
rnacentral:rRNA from 1 species